AGGGUUGAGGUCCCGACCACGGGGGGAAAUGGAGGAGGACUGGCCAGAUUUUGUGCCUUCCACCACAGUGAUAAAUGCUGUGGUGGAUGUUUGUGUUAAAUUUUUAUUGUGUAUUGUGUGUUCUUUAUCAUUGUACCGCUGCUGACAAAUUCAUUUCACUCAGUGACGAAUAAAACAUAUUGUAUUGAUUGAUCACAUGAUAAAAUGAUGUCAUGUUUGCACUUUUUUUCUCGGGCCAGUUACCGACCUAUCACUAUCUACGACUACCAUCAGGACCUUCUUACGACCUGCCUACGAGUAAAAUUUAUCAAUUUUUUCCCUGCCGACUUUUUUUACUCGUGGGCAUUUUUUAUCAGGCUGGAAAAAACGGUGCAACCUACUUGAGGCCACGAGUAUGCGGAGACCACUCACGGGCAGGAGGAAGAGUUACAAAGACCUCCUACGACAUAGUGGCGACCAUGCUGCGAGUAUGAGUCAAGGGCAAACUCGGCAGAGGUCGCUAAUUCGGUCCUGAAAGUGGGACAGGGGCUUUGUAUGUUUCAAUAAGAUCCCCUCUAAUCUUUCUAAAUUCCAGAGUAUGCAAGCCCAGAUGCUCCAUUCUAUCAACAUAUGCUAUCCCAGGAAUUAACCUGGUGACCCUACACGGCACUCUCUCAAUAGCAAGGAUGACCUUACUCAUAUUUGGAGACCAAAACUGCACACAAUACUCCUGGUGUAGUCUCACUAGUACAGCAGCAGAAGGACCUCUUUGCUCCUAUACACAACUUCUCUUGUUAUGAAGGCUAUCAUGCCAUUCGCUUUCUUCACUGCCUGCUCUACCAACAUACUUACUUUCAGUGACUGAUGAACAAGGACCCCCAGGUCUCGUUGUACUUCCCCUUUUCCCUGCUUGACACCAUUUAGAUAAUAAUCUUCCUUUCUGUUUUUGUUACCAAAGUGGAGAACCUCUAAUUUAUCCACAUUAAACUGCAUCUGCCCACUCACCCAACCUGUCCAAGUCCACCCUGCAUUCUCAUUGCAUCCUCCUCACAGUUCACACUGCCACCCAGCUUUCUGUCACCUGUAAAUUUGCUAAUAUUACUUUCAAUCCCUUCAUCUGAAUCAUUGAUGCAUAUAGUAAAUAGCUGCGGUCCCAGCACCGAGCCUUGCGGUAUCCCACUAGUUAUCCUUGCUCUUUGUUUCUUGUCUGCCAACCAAUUUUCUAUCCAUGUCAGUACCCUACCCCCAAUACCAUGCACUCUAAUUUUGCCCACUAAUCUCUUAUGUGGGACCUUAUCAAAUGCUUUCUGAAAGUCCAGGUACACUCCAUCCACUGGCUCUCCCUUGUCCAUUUUCCUAGUUACAUCCUCAAAGAACUCUGACCGAUCCUGCUACUGCUACCCAAAUGUGUCACUAUUUCAUCUUUUAUAGUCAGUGGGGCUAUUGUGUGGAGGUGGGUAUCAGGGAGGGUGGUGCUGGUUGGAACGUGGGGGUGGUGGUGCCGCAGUUGUCACGGUUCCUGUCCCCACCCCCCGGUGGGGUGGAGCCGCGACACAAACUAACACUCUAGAAUGUAGCAUUUUGAACGAUGCAGACAAUGGGCAGCGGCACCGGGGGCGGGACAUAGACACAGACACAGACAGACGGCGUUGGAGGAGGUCGUGUCUGGUGUCUGCUCUGCUCAGCUCAGCUAUACUCUACCCUACCAUCAUCUACUAUACUAUAUUAUACUCUAGGUGCGGCGGGGACGGGUGGUGACCAGAAGGGGAGUGGGUGAAGUGGCCACGCUCCCGCUCCUUGUUCCCGGCGCCGCGGCGAAGCUUCUGCUGCUCGGACCCCGCAGGGAUCAUCACUCGAAAAAGCUCUGCCCCUGGUGUACUGGUGGUUGGGCACAGCCUGGUACCAGUUAACAACGGCCAUCUCCUUGAUCGAUGUCUUUACUCUGUCCAGAUAAAUUAAAAUGAGGCGAUUCAUCCUGCUAUGCAUCCUGAUGCUACUACAGAUGGAGGGAAAUGAAGGAAAAAUUUGACGAUGUGUCCCGGGACAAACAAGCAGAGUCUUUCACCUCUGCAAAAGAGAUGUGGUACAGUGCAAUGGCCCAGAUGCCUUUGGAUCCUGGGAUGUCACCAAGAUUGACUAUUGCAAUGGGAUACAGCGUCAGCCCGAUUGGAAGGUAGACUUAGAUAACCGACACCUAUGGGUAUUAGGUUAGUCUCUGGAGUGUAAAUUUGACUUUUCUGCAAACGGUAUUCUUUGGAAGACAACUCGGCAAAGGAACAUUUGUAUGAUGGACUAUGCUAUCGAGAAGCAUUAGAGGGCUACUCUUGUUUACAGGAGAAAGAACAUGAGAAAAAUAUGGGAAAAAUGGGCAUUGGAAGAAACAGACUCUAACAUGCCCAUAAUGAACAAGCCCAUAAUGAACUAUUUGGUAAAGGACAAAUUGUGUGUUACCUUGCUACUAUCAGAAAUACGUCUGUUCUCUUUACAGGAUAGAUAUGCCUUAUACUAUCUGUUGGCACAUGAGGGAGGGACAUGUGCUAUUGUGAAAGACAGAUGUAUGAUGUGAAUUCAGGACAGAACAGUAACAUCACAAACAUCGAAAUGACAUUAUUACACUGCUCGAUGGGAUACAGGAAGGUAUUGAAUGGGGAGACUGAGGAUUUGGGUGGAUUUUAUAAUUGGAUCAUUAGUACUACUUUGGUUCUGUCUUCACCAAGGAAGACAUAAAUAAUCUUCCGGAAAUAGCAGGGGACCGGGGGUCAAAUGAGAUGGAAGAACUGAGUGAAAUCCAGGUUAGCCGGGAAGUGGUGUUAGGUAAAUUGAAUGGAUUAUCUGAAUGGUGGCCGAUUAGGAAAAGGGGAGAUGCAACGAGACCUGGGUGUCAUGGUACACCAGUCAUUGAAAGUAGGCAUGCAGGUGCAGCAGGCAGUGAAGAAAGUGAAUGGUAUGUUAGCAUUCAUAGCAAAAGGAUUUGAGUAUAGGAGCAGGGAGGUUCUACUGCAGUUGUCCAGGGUCUUCGUGAGACCACACCUGGAGUAUUGCGUACAGUUUUGGCCUCCCAAUCUGAGGAAAUACAUUCUUGCCAUAGAGGGAGUACAGAGAAGAAUCACCAGACUGAUUCCUGGGAUGUCAGGUCUUUCAUAUGAAGGGGUUGGACAGGCUAGAUGCAGGGAGAUUGUUUCCGAUGUUGGGGAAGUCCAGAACAAGGGAUCACAGUUUAAGGAUAAGGGGGAAAUCUUUUAGGACCGAGAUGAUGAAAACAUUUUUCACACAGAGAGUGGUGAAUCUGUGAAAUUCGCUGCCACAGAAGGUAGUUGAGGCCAGUUCAUUGGCUAUAUUUAAGAGGGAGUUAGAUGUGGCCCUUGUGGCUAAAGGGAUCAGGGGGUAUGGAGAGAAGGCAGGUACAGGAUACUGAGCUGAAUGAUCAGCCAUGAUCAUAUUGAAUGGCGGUGCAGGCUCGCAGGGCUGAAUGGCCUACUCCUGCACCUAUUUGCUAUGUUUCUAUAUAUGCAGCAAUAGUGGUUUUGUGUUUGUUCGUGGGAAUUGCUUUUGUUAAAUGUAUUAUUUCUAGACUGACAGCCUUGGGUAAUGUGUAAACUGGUGAGAAGAUAUUGCAACAUCUAGAAGAAGACAUUCUAAUGUUGAAUGAUGAAGUAGUUGAAAGGAUGGUAAAUGCGCAGGUUGAGAAAGAAUUAUUAGAAGAUGAAUGUAUUAGAAUGAAUAAAAUGCAGAUAGAUCAGUGGUAUGGAACCCAGAAUAGCUGAGCACCCUAAGGGCUAGGGUAUUAAGCACAACAGAGAAGUAGGGAACAGCAUUGGUGUCAACAAGCCAGCCUGCUCACCUACGUGGUCCAGGUUUUGGGGGCUAUAAAGCAUCUCAAGGUUAGGUAUAAACUUGGAUGACUAAUAAGCCAAUGCUGAUGAAUCUCUGCCUUGUGUUAUUAUCCUAUUAGUGGUCAUAGAAUGACCAGAGUGGGGAAUGAGGAAAUAUUAUACAAAUAGAACCGCUUGGAUAGUGACUUUUAUAUAAGCUAAGUAAAUUGCAAAAGAAAAGUUUAAAGUUUUCCUGAACCAAAAUAAACUGCAAACAGACACAUACACACAGGCAAAGAUGAAUCAAAACAUGGAGGCCUGAACUUAGGUUAUUGUUUGGGGCAAUUAUAGCACUGGAGGAAAUUGUAUUUGAUAUGGCUUUGUGUUGAACAAUGGGAAGCUGAAUAAGGGGCCUCUUCUUAGGCCAUCUGCUCUGUCUCUAUGGCACAUUUCUGAGCUCUGAAUGUGACGUAAAGGUGAAGAGUUAUGGCUUGUUUUGCUAGGUUUGAGACAGAAUUCAAGGCUGAGAGAUGAUAGACGGCAGUUAGCCUUGGCUGUGUACAAUUAUAAUGUGUGAUAAGGAACAAGAUGUAAGUGAAGGAAUAGUUGCUUUGAGAAAUAAUUAGAUUGAGGGAGUAGUUUAUAGAAGGUUGAAGCAGAUGGAAUUCUGACGUAAUGGUCUGAGAUGUAGUCUCUUGUGUUCUGCCUGGUACAUGAGAUUGGAAAUCCUACUUCCCGAUAACAGGAAAGGCACCAAACUUAAUUGGAUCAUUAGUACUACUAUUAAGUAAAUUGACAGAUUUACGACCCAUGUAUGCUUGGUAGGGAUGUGAAUGGGUUUUGAACUUAGAAACUGUUAUUCAGCAAACUUAUAUAAUUAAUGUUUUAAAGACAUAGGUAAAAGUAUUUCAAACUGUGAAAUUAUAGUGAAACAAUGUAUGAGAUGUAUUGGCUUAAUAGAAAGGUACACUUUAGACAUAGAAAUUGUUUAGAUUUAUAGAAAUAUAUUUUCUCUUGGUAUAGAAAGUGUGUAUGACUUGUGUGAUCAUUGUGUUAUAUACGUAUGUUGUAUUUUGAGGAGUGGUCUUUCAUAAGAGCCUACUGGGGUUUUGCUGUGUUGAAAUAAAAUAAUUCUAAAACAGUAUAAAGCACAGACAAACGAAGGCUGUAAUGAGGCCAGGGAAGGGGGAUCAUGUGACUGACGUUGUAAAUCACCAGAAGGACUCAGAUGAUUGGUUACCAGCUUGUCAUACCCUCUGUAUCUGAAAUGUCUAAUACCUAUAUAAAUGCCAUGAGUUUGUAUCAAAGUUACUCCUCUCUGGACCUGCCCCAGAGCAUCUGCUCUGUGUUGUAAGGUUCAAGAGACUAGUCUCAGCUGAAUAAAGAAUUGAUUUUAACAGCAACAAGUGUUUGAGUCAAGUUGACUUUUGAUUGAAAGAACUCAGUUUAACACUUUCAUAGGACAACAGAAGGAAACAAAACGGGCAAUACAGGCUGAAAAGAUGAAGUACGAAGGGAAGCUGGCCAGGAAUAUAAAGAAGGACAGUAAAAGCUUCUUUAGAUAUGUUAAGGGAAAAAGAGUAGCAAAGUCAAAUGUUGGUCCCUUGAUGGCUGACACGGGUGAAAUUAUUAUGGGCAACAAGGAAUUGGCAGAAGAGUUGAAUAGGUACUUCGGAUCUGGCUGGAUGUCUCAGAUGUACUGGAGGACAGAGGAUCUAAGUGGGUAGAGGAACUGAAAGAAAUUUUCAUUAGGCGAGAAAUAGUAUUGGGUAGGCUAAUGGAACUGAAGGAUGAUAAAUCCCCUGGGCCUCAUGGUCUGCAUCCCAGGGUCCUCAGGGAGGUGGAUCUUGAAAUAGUGGACGCAUUGGUGAUCAUUUUACAAUGUUCAAUAGAUUCAGGAUCAGUUCCUGUGGAUUGGAUGUUAUCCCACUUUUCAAGAAAGGAGCGAGGGAGAAAACGGGGAAUUACAGACAUGUUAACCUGACUUCGGUGAGUUAUAGUGAGGUGGUCACAUUUAAGGUAUAGGCAGAAAGUAGAUGGGUGAUUACCAGAACAGGGGUAGGCAGAGAGCGCAGGGAUCACCUGUAACCAUUCCCCUCCAAAACAAUAAUUCCCUUUUGGAUACUUUGGGAGAAAGAUGACUGUUUGGGAGAGACCUGCAGCAACAGUCAAGUCUGUGGCACAGUGAGUGACAUUUCAGAACGGGACCCUUCUUCAGACUGAUUGCCGGCUGAGGAGAAAGCUGGAAAAGAGGAAGAGCAGGACAAAGCCUGGCAGUUGAUAGGCUGAAGACAGACACAAAUAGCUGGGACUGUGGGACAGGCAACAUCACUGGAGAGAAGGAAUCAGCAUCCGCAGUUCCUUCCUACACAAUAGGCUGACACGGUUGAGCUGGGUUAUUUAAUAGGCAGAUGGUUGGAUUGAAGCCAGAGACAGAAUGUGGGAGACAAAAGGAUUGAAGUUGCAGAUUUGAAAGCGAAAGGAUGGAAUGUAUGUAUGUAAACAGUCCGUGGUUGGGGUGAGAGCAGUCCUUGACGAUGCUGCCCGCCCUUUGCAGACAUCGCUUGCUUUGGACAAUGGAGGGGAGUGAGGAACCGGUGAUGCGUUGGGCAAUUUUCAUCACCCUCUGCAGUGCUUUCCGGUCGGAGACAGAGCAGUUGCCAUACCAUACUGUGAUACAGUUGGUAAGGAUGCUCUCGAUGGUGCAGCGGUAGAAGUUCACCAGAAUCCGAGGAGACAGAUGGACCUCCUUUAGUCUCCUCAGGAAGAAGAGAUGCUGGUGAGCCUUCUUGACCAGAGUUGAGGUAUUGUGGGUCCAAGAGAGGUCAUCAGAGAUGUUGACCCCCAGAAACUUGAAGCUUCAUUAUCUAUGUAGGAUGGUUAGGGUGUCUAGUUGUAACAUUGCAUUCACAAGUUCCCCUUUGUUACUGUUCAUGGUACCAGACAUAUUUAGCAUCUGAAGAGUACAUUGAUUGGAGUAAAGUUCGAUUGUCUUUUAACACAGGCAGCAGUUUAUUCUGUGGGAAUCGAACUUUACUCCAUAGUCUCUUGCUUGAUUGUUCUCCUCAUCUGACAAGUUAUUGCUAAUAAAGUAGCUACAGUCUGAUCGUCACUCACGUCUGGUGUAAGAUAUUCCGACACAACCAGGCCUUACUGUCGAGCAACAGACAAGUACAAAGGUGGAAUGAUAAUGGUAGGAUCACAAAUGUUGCCGCUCCAAGAGAAAAUAACUGAUUGUUGUGCCACAGAGCUAUUGCCAUUCCUCAGGAGACUCAGGUAACUCAACACAGUAAUCAAUCGGAGAUCAGAUUGCUGUAUUAUUGUGACAUCUGGAAAGCCCAAUUGGAUAGUACUUAAAGCUAUUUAUGCAGCAGAAUGAAGUUACACGGCUGCAGGCUAAAAUUGCAGCAUUCAGAUGUUGGGUUCUUGCCCUCAUUUCUGCAAUAGAAUCUGAGGCAUUUGCCAAUAGAUACUGUACCGUGACUGAGUCCAGAAGAGCUCUCUGUCACUUCCCAGCUGAAGUGACUUCACAAAACUGCAUCCAACUUCAGAGUUGGACUCCUGAUGCAGUUUGAUAUUCCACAUGCUCUUGCAGACAGGCCAGACAACCA